CAAGUCGAACGAGAAAGUGGAGCAAUCCAUGAGUACAGUGGCGUACGGGUGAGUAACACGUGACUAACCCUACCCCUCGAGUGGGGAAUAACCUCGGGAAACCGGGGCUAACACCGCAUAAUAUCUACGGAUCAAAUGCGCAAGCAGCUUGAGGAGGGGGUCGCGGCCGAUUAGCUAGUUGGCGGGGUAAUGGCCCACCAAGGCAAUGAUCGGUAGCCGGCCUGAGAGGGCGCACGGCCACACUGGAACUGAAACACGGUCCAGACUCCUACGGGAGGCAGCAGUGGGGAAUUUUGCGCAAUGGGGGAAACCCUGACGCAGCAACGCCGCGUGGAGGAUGAAGCCCCUUGGGGUGUAAACUCCUUUCGAUCGGGACGAUUAUGACGGUACCGGAUGAAGAAGCACCGGCUAGCUCUGUGCCAGCAGCCGCGGUAAUACAGAGGGUGCAAGCGUUGUUCGGAAUUAUUGGGCGUAAAGGGUGCGUANGCNGUGCGGUAAGUCUCUUGUGAAAUCUCCGGGCUCAACUCGGAGCCUGCAAGGGAAACUGCCGUGCUUGAGUAUGGGAGAAGUGAAGUGGAAUUCCCCGUGGUAGCGGUGAAAUGCGUAAAUUUCGGGAGGAACCCCUGUGGCGAAAGCGGCUCACUGGACCAUUACUGACCCUUAUGCACGAAAGCUAGGGGAGCAAACAGGAUUAGAUACCCUGGUAGUCCUAGCCCUAAACUAUGAUCGCUUGGUGUGACAGGUACCCAACCCUGUCGUGCCGGAGCUAACGCGUUAAGCGAUCCGCCUGGGGAGUAC
rnacentral:rRNA from 1 species